GACGAACGCUGGCGGCGUGCUUAACACAUGCAAGUCGAACGGAAAGGCCCUGCUUUUGUGGGGUGCUCGAGUGGCGAACGGGUGAGUAACACGUGAGUAACCUGCCCUUGACUUUGGGAUAACUUCAGGAAACUGGGGCUAAUACCGGAUAGGAGCUCCUGCUGCAUGGUGGGGGUUGGAAAGUUUCGGCGGUUGGGGAUGGACUCGCGGCUUAUCAGCUUGUUGGUGGGGUAGUGGCUUACCAAGGCUUUGACGGGUAGCCGGCCUGAGAGGGUGACCGGGCACAUUGGGACUGAGAUACGGCCCAGACUCCUACGGGAGGCAGCAGUGGGGAAUAUUGCACAAUGGGCGGAAGCCUGAUGCAGCAACGCCGCGUGCGGGAUGACGGCCUUCGGGUUGUAAACCGCUUUCGCCUGCGACGAAGCGUGAGUGACGGUAGUGGGUAAAGAAGCACCGGCUAACUACGUG
rnacentral:rRNA from 1 species